CCCUAGAUCCAGCCAUGCCGCGUGAGUGAAGAAGGCCUUCGGGUUGUAAAGCUCUUCGGUGGGAACGAAACGGGCACGGCUAAUACCCGUGUUCAAUGACGGUACUCACAGAAGAAGCACCGGCUAACUACGUGCCAGCAGCCGCGGUAAUACGUAGGGUGCGAGCGUUAAUCGGAAUUACUGGGCGUAAAGCGUGCGCAGGCGGUUUGUUAAGACAGGUGUGAAAUCCCCCGGGCUUAACCUGGGAACUGCGCUUGUUACUGGCAGACUUGAGUGUGGCAGAGGGGGGUGGAAUUCCAGGUGUAGCAGUGAAAUGCGUAGAUAUCUGGAGGAACACCGAUGGCGAAGGCAGCCCCCUGGGUUAACACUGACGCUCAUGCACGAAAGCGUGGGGAGCAAACAGGAUUAGAUACCCUGGUAGUCCACGCCCUAAACUAUGUCAACUGGUUGUCGGGGAAGCAAUUCCUUGGUAACGAAGCUAACGCGUGAAGUUGACCGCCUGGGGAGUACGGCCGCAAGGUUA
rnacentral:rRNA from 1 species